rnacentral:misc_RNA from 1 species
UGAUAUAGUGACUUCAUUAAAAGAUUCAGCUCUUGGACAUUUGUGGAGCCAACUACAUGAGAGGUUUGAAGCCUGUUACUGAUGUUAUCUUAGGUUGAUGCUGCAGCAGGUGUGUUGAUGUAAAUUAUAUAUAGCUAAAGCUAGUUAGCUGAGGUUUAUAGUCCUGUUGCCAUACGGAAAAUAUUGGGGGAUUUUAGCUUGUCCUUUUUCUUCCCUUCCCACGUUUGAAAACACCUGUUGCCUGGAAUGUACAUUUUAUUUAUGCGUCCGUUUUGAGCGUCCAAUGGGACAGGUGCGUGAGGAUUGAGAUCCUCUUUCUUAAUAAAAGGUUGGGCUGGAUGCCAAAUUCGGCUGCAUUUAA